rnacentral:lncRNA from 1 species
GCUAGCUGUUCAGAGGUCAGGCGCUGGUCAGAACAUGAGGAAGGAGGAACACGGUGGCCAUAUCUGAAGUGAUCUAGUAAACAGGAGACAUUUCCUCCAGGAAGUCUGUAGUGGGUAAGACCCAGUUACUACCCUUGAGGAAAGGAAGGUGAUGGGAACUAGCAUCUAUUAUGCACUGUGUGCCAGACUUGAGUAAACACUUCCAAGUCCUGUUCCUUGACUCCUAUGAGGUUAGUAACUUUUAUCAUCGCCAUUUUAAAGGAAGGCUCAGAGGCACUCUGCAGUCACACAGCUGGAGGGGUGCAGUGAGACGCGGAGGCUCCAAGUCUCUUCUGGACUAGGCCUGGAUCUGCCACCUCUUCUUUCGGCUGUGGAUGGCCCUGGGAGACACGCCUGGCCUCAGAUGCCCCUUGACCCAACUGGAGGAAGGGUGGGGGGCCCAGCAGAAAAGCCUGCAGCCUCCCUGGGCACCGUUUCAAAGCUGAUGCUGCUCUCCCUGCUCUGGGUCUCAGCUCCUCCCCUCUUCUGCAUUGUUGACCAACAGCCUGGGUCUGACGCGGAAGCAGAAGAAUUCCCAUUCAACUGGGCCCCAGGGAUGGGGGGCCUCUCUGCCAGUAAGUGACACCCUCUGCUACUGAAAGGCCUCAUGUUCCUGCCCUGCCAAGCCUGGGGUGGCCACCACGUGACAGCACCAGGGACACGUGUCUUCUGGGACCGCUUGUGAGCUGGGUGGCUGGCAAGUUUGUUUCUCCAUGUCCCGCAGCAGGGGCAAGGGUGUGGGUGGUCAUAAUGCACCAGGGCUCUGGGCGGGCUGAGCAGAGUGCAGUUCCUGCUGCCAGCCCCGAUAUGGCACGGACAGCUGGAAAAACUGACCAUGUGGCUUGACUAUCUCAGAGGAUUGCUCCAUUUUUCCUCAGCAUAAUUUUUCCAUGAAUAAUCUUUAAAGCUCUUUAAGUGGCUGUUUCUUUAGCAGUUUUAUUGGAACAUAUGAGAACUGACAGUCUCUGUGGGGAACGAGAUAUCAUGUUGAAAAAAAAUCUGGUUUUCAUUACACUUCUUUCAAGAAAGCAACAGGCUGCCCAACAGACCUCUCAUUGAUUGGAAGAGAAAUGAGCCCAGAGCCUCCUAACAACAGCCUUGGAGUGGACAGGAUGAUGAACAGUGAUGCCAAAGACUCAGGAUCUGAAGGCAGACAGGCCUGGUCCACCACCUGUGUCUGCCAUUUGCAGGAUGAGUGACCUUGAGUAGGUCACCUCACACCUCUGAACCUGAAUUCUACAUCUGCAAAACAGGAAUGAUGACCCUGACUGACAGCCUCCCUGUGAGGAGUAAGCCAUACAGCAUCCCUCCCUCCUUCACGUGACAAACUUUUCCUGAGUCCUGACCUCGGGGGCAGGAGCUGGAGAUACUACACUGGAUUAGAAAGAUGAGUUUCCAGUCAAGUGUGGGAGAGAGAAGUAGCCAGGAUGUAGAACCUGACAAGGGAAGAGUUCAGGAACUUGCCCAGUUGAGCAGCCAGUGAACGGGACAGCCCUGAGCACGGUGCACGUUCUGGGGUGGCUCGUGAGUGACAGCAGUACUGGUAUGCUGGUGAGUGCCUCAGCAGGAGCUCCCUCUGUCCCCCUACCAACUCCCCGAUGUCUGGACGGCACCAGAGCCCGCCUGGGAGGCCACGAGCUAACACUCUCAAGAGGAAAACAGGGGGAUCAAACCAAUGACCCAAGGGCCUACAGCUAAGAACUGCUGGAGCCAGGCUCUGAACUGAGCUCUGCCUGACUCCAGAGGUGGUUUCUACCACCAGGCAAUACAACAGGGAGACACGCAGGUGUGUCAGAGAGCAGUCCUCACAGUGCGAGCACAGAAACCAGAGGCCAAGGCUGAAGAUUUUCCUGGACUCGCGGUGCUGCCCAGGAAUCUUCUGAGAAAACCUGUCAGUUGGUAAAGCCACGUGGAGGCGGGGCUAACAAAAUCUGGAAAUGUCUUCACCAGUUCCAAAGUACACACAAACAUUACUUGCCCUCUCUGGGGGUCAACGUUCUUUAUGAUUUUUUUCUCUCCAGGAAAAUAUUAGUUCAUUUAUAGAAACUAAACAUUACAUGUGGAGGGAAAAUGGAAAACGUGGCAUUCUUGGCCUUUUUUCUCCACAGACACAGAAACUGAGAAGGUUUCUCCAUUUCCUUUCUCACAGCCUAUUUGUUGGUGUGGAACUGCCUGUGAAGUCAUUCUGCAGGGGUGGAAAGUGGGGGCCAGCUCUCUGUGGGCAACAGGGACCAUCCCAGAGACAAAGGGCAGCCUCAGCCCACAGACCACUUCGGACUUGAAUCAAGGCCUCAAAGGGCGAGACCUGGGCCACUGUCAAUGUGAGGGCAGGUGUGGGGGAUGUGCCUACUGGAAAGGGCACCGAGCUGAAGCCUAAACCCCCUCCUGAGGAGCCAGGGAAGCCUGCGUUCCUCCCAUUCCCGGGACUGCAAGAGGCACAUUCCUGUCCCUGAGUCUGGUCAGGCUCCUGCCACGCAGCUCAGUCUGGCUGCCAGGUCCAGAAAGGCCUCCCUGGAGCUGCCCCUCUGGCCCCACCCUUCCCAGGACCCCAGGCCACCCCACAGCUGCAGCAGCACCCACUCUCUGUCUUCUGAGGCUGCUAGUGGGAAGCUGGGACCCCCGAGUGUGUCUGAAACCUUCCAGGCACUCCUCGACCCUCUAGUGAUCAAUGAAAACCUUCACAUCCUGCUUCCAGGGCUGAAGCCAGGGAUUUGGAAAAUUGGUGGAAAACACUCCUAUGAGCUGGGGCUUGCUCUGCUGUGGAAAACUGCCAGCAUCAGCACUUCUCCCAAGGCUGUGCCGAGUCAGCAGUCAGCCCACUCUGGAGCUGCCUCUGAGGACCAGGUGCCUACAGGACCCUGUAAGGAGCUUGAAGAGUUGUGGCUGACGGAGGGAUUUCUGUCCUGGGCUCUAGGAAUUCUAGACUGGGCCCUUCCUCAAGGAGCUUUCAGUCUGGCGGAGCAGACAGACAUGGGCAAAUAAGCCCACAACUAACUGUGCCAUCACUGCAGAAGGAAGUGCCACGGAGGAGCAUGAGGGCCAGUUGCAGGAAGGAGCCAGGGCCAGCAUGUGCCUGUAAAAGCCAGAUAGUAAAUAGUUCACGCUCUGCAGGCCACAGGGUCUUUGUCCCAAGCACUCAACUCUGCCACUGCUGCAUGAAAACAGCCACAGGCGAUAUGUCAACCAAAGAGGGGUGGUUGUGCCCAUAUGAAAACAGAGGGUGGAUCUGUCCCACAGUUUGCCACAGCCUGGCUGUUAGACGGCCUGACCUGAUUGGGGGUGGGGGUGAUAGUGGGGAGAAGGCUUCCCCGAGGCAGUGAUAUUUAGCUAAAAGCUGCAGGCUGAGGCAAUGAUGGAGGCAGAAUCACAAUAUGACAAUUAUGAUAAUCACAUCACCAUGAUCAAGUUCCACCUAACACGUGUGUUCUAUGUUGCGCACUGUGCUAAUAACAACACUACCCUGUGAAGGAGGAAGAUUUUAUGCCCACUUUACAGAUAGAGACACUGAGGCUUGGCAGUAUGCUGAGUAGUCUGUUCACACAAUUCAGCUGCAUUUUUUGC